CACGUAGGGUGCGAGCGUUGUCCGGAAUUAUUGGGCGUAAAGAGCUCGUAGGCGGUGUGUCGCGUCGGCCGUGAAAACCUGCAGCUUAACUGUGGGCUUGCGGUCGAUACGGGCAUCACUGGAGUUCGGCAGGGGAGACUGGAAUUCCUGGUGUAGCGGUGAAAUGCGCAGAUAUCAGGAGGAACACCGGUGGCGAAGGCGGCAUCCUGGACCGACACUGACGCUGAGGCGCGAAAGCUAGGGUAGCAAACGGG
rnacentral:rRNA from 1 species